rnacentral:rRNA from 1 species
GAACGCUGGCGGCGUGCUUAACACAUGCAAGUCGAACGGUGAACGAGGGAGCUUGCUCCCUCCGGAUCAGUGGCGAACUGGUGAGUAACACGUGAGCAAUCUGCCCCGAACUCUGGGAUAAGCGUUGGAAACGACGUCUAAUACCGGAUACGACGCGGGAGGGCAUCCUCUCCGCGUGGAAAGAACUUCGGUUCGGGAUGAGCUCGCGGCCUAUCAGCUUGUUGGUGAGGUAACGGCUCACCAAGGCGACGACGGGUAGCCGGCCUGAGAGGGUGACCGGCCACACUGGGACUGAGACACGGCCCAGACUCCUACGGGAGGCAGCAGUGGGGAAUAUUGCACAAUGGGCGCAAGCCUGAUGCAGCAACGCCGCGUGAGGGACGACGGCCUUCGGGUUGUAAACCUCUUUUAGCAGGGAAGAAGCGAAAGUGACGGUACCUGCAGAAAAAGCACCGGCUAACUACGUG